rnacentral:rRNA from 1 species
GGUUAAGCGACUAAGCGUACACGGUGGAUGCCCUGGCAGUCAGAGGCGAUGAAGGACGUGCUAAUCUGCGAAAAGCGUCGGUAAGGUGAUAUGAACCGUUACAGCCGGCGAUGUCCGAAUGGGGAAACCCAGUGCAAUUCGUUGCACUAUCGUUAACUGAAUACAUAGGUUAACGAGGCGAACCGGGGGAACUGAAACAUCUAAGUACCCCGAGGAAAAGAAAUCAACCGAGAUUCCCCCAGUAGCGGCGAGCGAACGGGGAGCAGCCCGGAGUCUGAAUCAGCUUGUGUGUUAGUGGAAGCGUCUGGAAAGUCGCAGGGUACAGGGUGAUACUCCCGUACACUAAAACACACAGGCUGUGAACUCGAAGAGUAGGGCGGGACACGUGGUAUCCUGUCUGAAUAUGGGGGGACCAUCCUCCAAGGCUAAAUACUCCUGACUGACCGAUAGUGAACCAGUACCGUGAGG